CCUACAGUGACCGAGUUCCCUCAGCCAGCCUGACAUUGCGGAUGCUGCUGCAAGGAUGACGCUGAUGAUACUGGAUGAAACUUAGGGCCGUUGGGGAGGCGGAAGCGGAUGAGGAGUCUCUGUGCUUGCUCACCCCGGGCCAGAUCUCAGUGAUCCAGAGCGAGGAGAGGGUCUUCAGCUCGGAAGGCUGUGCCUAUCUCUGACUUCUGAAUGUCCGGCUUCCGCCUCCCAUCUAACUGGAUGCCAGCGUCCAGCCAUCCUGCUGGACGCGGGGGGAGAAGCCCCAUUUUACCGCUCGACGAGAGGACAGAGCCUGGCAGCCCCUGAGAUAAGUGUGGCUGUUGGGUAAGGAGCCCAAACCACCUGAAGGCCCG
rnacentral:lncRNA from 1 species